UACGUAGGGUGCAAGCGUUAAUCGGAAUUACUGGGCGUAAAGCGUGCGCAGGCGGUUUUGUAAGUCUGUCGUGAAAGCCCCGGGCUCAACCUGGGAAUUGCGAUGGAGACUGCAAGGCUUGAAUCUGGCAGAGGGGGGUAGAAUUCCACGUGUAGCAGUGAAAUGCGUAGAGAUGUGGAGGAACACCGAUGGCGAAGGCACUUUACUGGGCUAUUACUAACACUCAGAGACGAAAGCUAGGGUAGCAAAUGGG
rnacentral:rRNA from 1 species